CUUCAUUCUUGAGCCAGCUGGCCGUACAUUCAGAGCAUGAGAGCUGGCAGUGACAGGAACUGAGUCCCUGACUGAGCCCCUGUCCAGGCCUUUCCCUGGGUCCAGAUCACAGUCGAGCUUCAGUCACAUCCAAGACCAGAGGACCUAGCAGUCAGGGCAGGAAGCCCUGGCAUAGGCCAUAGCACCAGCAUCCUCUGAGACCUGUGGGGCUGAGCGCUCGGCUCAGGGCUCAGCUUUCCUUCCAAGCUCCUACAGCACCUCCCAAGCUCCUACAACACCUCCAGAACCCCAGGUCUUCUUGCACUCAUCUAGCACUAUAUUGAGAGCUGAGACACCCCUGGAGCACCCCUCAGCCGAGACAUGAAGAAUGUCCCCGCUUCCCCCAGGACAAGGGUAACUGUGCUGCAAUGAGAUAAGAAGGAGGUUCAGAGAAGUCACACAACUUGCAACUUGCUUGGGGUCACACAGCUGUCUCCAGGAGGAAGAGAAACAAGAAGGUUGGAAGAUGUCUGUGUUUGGAGCAGCCUGUGAUGAUGGUCACAGUAACUUUUAACUUCUUUGAUGAAUGCUUUCAUCUCCUCGGAAAUUAAAAUUGUAAAUCAGGUACUCAUGAACAAGAUGAGGAGAAACUGAG